rnacentral:rRNA from 2 species
GAUUUCUGGUUUAAUGCACCUGGCCCGCGGCCACUAGGCUUGUGAGUGCCGGCGCGCGUUUACCAUCCUUCUAGAAAACGAUUCUGCCAUUCACUUGGUUGGGAUCGCGAUCUAGAUCUUUUACUUUGAAAAAAUUAGAGUGUUUAAAGCAGGCUUUUGCUAUGAAUACAUUAGCAUGGAAUAAUAAUCUAGGACUUCGGUUCUAUUUUGUUGGUUUCUAUAACUGAAGUAAUGAUUGAUAGGGAUAGUUGGGGGUGCUAGUAUUGGCCGGCCAGAGGUGAAAUUCUUGGAUUCGGUCAAGACUAACUUAUGCGAAAGCAUU